GCUUGGAUGAUCCUCAGUGGUCUAGGGUGCAAGCUUCAAACCUGUAGCUGUCUGGGGACAGAGUGGUUCAAUUACAGCUUUCAAGAG
rnacentral:tRNA from 1 species